GCGCGAGUAGGCUAAUUGGCAACGCCACUGUACUUAAAAUACAGAGAAUGGCGGUUCGACUCCGCCCUCGCGUACCA
rnacentral:tRNA from 1 species